rnacentral:rRNA from 1 species
AUUGAACGCUGGCGGCAGGCCUAACACAUGCAAGUCGAACGAGUGGCGGACGGGUGAGUAAUUUCUGGGAAACUGCCCGAUGGAGGGGGAUAACUACUUGAAACGGUAGCUAAUACCGCAUACCAUCGGAUGUGCCCAGAUGGGCUUAGCUAGUGGGUGGGGUAACGGCUCACCUAGGCGACGAUCCCUAGCUGGUUUGAGAGUAUGACCAGCCACACUGGAACUGAGACACGGUCCAGACUCCUACGGGAGGCAGCAGUGGGGAAUCUUGCACAAUGGGCGAAAGUCUGAUGCAGCCACGCCGCGUGUAUGAAGAAGGUCUUCGGGUCGUAAAGUACUUUCAGCGAGGAGGCGUUAAUCGAAGAAGAAGCAUCGGCUAACUACGUGCCAGCAGCCGCGGUAAUAC